GUAGGUCACAAGCGUUGUCCGGAAUUACUGGGUGUAAAGGGAGCGCAGGCGGGAAGACAAGUUGGAAGUGAAAUCUAUGGGCUCAACCCAUAAACUGCUUUCAAAACUGUUUUUCUUGAGUAGUGCAGAGGUAGGCGGAAUUCCCGGUGUAGCGGUGGAAUGCGUAGAUAUCGGGAGGAACACCAGUGGCGAAGGCGGCUCACUGGCCCGAUACUGACGCUGAGGCACGAAAGCGUGGGGAGCAAACAGGAUUAGAUACCCUGGUAGUCCACGCCGUAAACGAUGAGCACUAGGUGUCGGGGGAGCGAUCCUUCGGUGCCGCAGUUAACGCAAUAAGUGCUCCGCCUGGGGAGU
rnacentral:rRNA from 1 species